UGGGUGAAUGGCUGAGUGGUUUAAAGCGGCAAUUUUGAAAAUUGUUAUGAACGUUGUUUAUCGUAAGUUCAAAUCUUACUUUACCCAA
rnacentral:tRNA from 1 species